GGCGGCCGCGGGAUUCGAUUGUAGUCAUAUGCUUGUCUCAAAGAUUAAGCCAUGCAUGUCUAAGUAUAAGCAAUUAUACCGCGAAACUGCGAAUGGCUCAUUAUAUAAGUUAUCGUUUACUUGAUAGCACAUUACUACUUGGAUAACCGUGGUAAUUCUAGAGCUAAUACAUGCUAAAAAUCCCGACUUCGGAAGGGAUGUAUUUAUUAGAUUAAAAGCCAACGCCCUUCGGGGCUCUCUGGUGAUUCAUAAUAACUGGUCGAAUCGCACGGCCUUGCGCCGGCGAUGGUUCAUUCAAAUUCUUCCCUAUUAACUUUCGAUGCGAGGGUCUUGGCCUCGCAUGGUUGCCACCGGGAACGGAAGGUUAGGGCUCGACCCC
rnacentral:rRNA from 1 species